AAUCUGUGGUGCGGACACGUUUGAAUCAACAUUUUGAAGUGAUCCCAUGCCACAUAGAAACUUCCCUUUCCAUUUGUCUAAAAACAACAAUCUCUCUUCUUAGUUG
rfam:Gossypium arboreum cultivar AKA8401 contig_72465_1, whole genome shotgun sequence.